rnacentral:rRNA from 1 species
GCAGUAGCCGCGGUAAUACGUAGGGUGCGAGCGUUAAUCGGAAUUACUGGGCGUAAAGCGUGCGCAGGCGGUUAUAUAAGACAGAUGUGAAAUCCCCGGGCUCAACCUGGGACCUGCAUUUGUGACUGUAUAGCUAGAGUACGGUAGAGGGGGAUGGAAUUCCGCGUGUAGCAGUGAAAUGCGUAGAUAUGCGGAGGAACACCGAUGGCGAAGGCAAUCCCCUGGACCUGUACUGACGCUCAUGCACGAAAGCGUGGGGAGCAAACAGGAUUAGAUACCCCCGUAGUCCCUGUCUCUUAUAA